UACGAAGGGGGCUAGCGUUGUUCGGAAUUACUGGGCGUAAAGCGCACGUAGGCGGACUAUUAAGUCAGGGGUGAAAUCCCGGGGCUCAACCCCGGAACUGCCUUUGAUACUGGUAGUCUCGAGUCCGGAAGAGGUGAGUGGAAUUCCGAGUGUAGAGGUGAAAUUCGUAGAUAUUCGGAGGAACACCAGUGGCGAUGGCGGCUCACUGGUCCGGUACUGACGCUGAGGUGCGAAAGCGUGGGGAGCAAACAGG
rnacentral:rRNA from 1 species